UACGGGGGGGGUAAGCGUUGUUCGGAAUUACUGGGCGUAAAGGGCUCGUAGGCGGCCAACUAAGUCGGACGUGAAAUCCCUCAGCUUAACUGGGGAACUGCGUCUGAUACUGGAUGGCUUGGAUUUGGGAGAGGGAUGCGGAAUUCCAGGUGUAGCGGUGAAAUGCGUAGAUAUCUGGAGGAACACCGGUGGCGAAGGCGGCAUCCUGGACCAACACUGACACUGAUGAGCGAAAGCCAGGGGAGCAAACGGG
rnacentral:rRNA from 1 species